GUCCCGGUUGGUGUGUGGUCGGGCUGGGAGGGGCUUGGUGCGGGCGGGAACCGCGGGUAGCGACCACGUCUCGUCAGGGGGUUCGUGCCUGCUGCUGGGCACGGGAACGGCUCCGGGGGGGUCUUACGGGCGCUGAGGGGAUUCCGCAUCAUGGAGAGGUCAAGGGGAGUUGGUGGCCGUCACCCUUCGUCAGGGCAGGGUAGCAUCAGUGCCCGUGCUGGGGUUCCUGGAGAGCCGGCUGGCAACGGACAGACUCUUGUGAGGGCAAGUGGCUGAUCGUGCGUCGGAUGGGUCCAGCAAAGGAGAGAAAGCUUCGGCGCGCGCGCGCUCGCCAGGGAAAGGGUGACAGCGGGUGGGACCGAGAGGGAGAGAGAGAGAGGGAGAGAACAAAGGAAGAGAGAGGGUUUCCGCAGGGGCGGUGAGUCCUGGCGGAAGUCCUGAGGCAGAGGAGGUGCCAGGGGUUUGGGUUUCCGGUCGUGUCGGGGGUGUGGCGCAGGUUGCCCCAGUGGGCCUGAAUGUGCCUCCGUGGGGCACCUUGUUGCCGUGUUGGGGGGCGGGGAGCCGGCCUUGGGGAUCCAUCUUUCGGGCCCUGGGACGUGGGAGAAUGCCGGGGCCUCUCUCUGUGCCCCUGGCACGCCUCUGUGCAGGCCGGGCCUGCACCACCCCCCCCCCGCGCCCCCAGGCAGGGUCCGUGUGGCUGCAGACACCCAGAGCGAGGGGAGGCUGGGGAGGCUGGGGAGCCGUGGCAGCCCGAUGCAGUGCGGGUCUCCAGGUGGAGGGGCCCUGGUCCCCUGGCGCCAGCGUGGCCCUUCCUCCUUGUGGAAACCCUUGUGGUGUGUGUGCUCUCUCGCCCUGACCCAGGAGAGCAGCAUGGCGGACCCCUGAUCUUGUGGCGUGCCACCGCGCGAGGCCGAGGAGCUCCCGCAGCCAGUGGGCGUGGCGUCCUUGUCGCGGCUCUGUGGAGACCUGGCGAUGGUGAGCGGCCCCUGUCCUCAGUGGUGGAGAACUCGCCCUUGGGGCUCGUCUGUCCGGAGCCCCGGGCCAGCCCGCUUCUCGCGGGCUUUGGCCCCGGCAGGCCAGCUCCGGGGGCGUGAGGGGGAGCGUCCCGUCCUGCCCAGUGGCUCGUCUGUCUGGGCACGCCCCCAAACGCUGCCGUGAUGGAGCGGGUGGGAUGUCCAGGUGCGGAGGCCGUGAAUUUGCCUUGCGGGCGGCGGAGCCCGUGCUCGGAUCGAUGAUGACUCCCUCUAAAGCAUUCCUUGGAAAUCUGAACAAAAUGAGUGAGAACUCACUACCGUCUCCUCAUCGAAACUGAGGUCCGGCACGUGGCGGCCACCGGGGGCUCGGGGUAGAUGGGCCCUUGGCCUUGGGGCCUCUGGGUGUCAGCAGCCACUCGGGUGAGGUCUGGGGAAGGCGGCCGCCUGCCGGGCCCAGGAAGCAUGGGGCCCGUCGCCCGGCGCUGGCCUCGGGGGCGAGGCCGCGUGCCCGAGCGUGCUGGAGAUCCCGGGCGGCC
rnacentral:lncRNA from 1 species